rnacentral:rRNA from 1 species
AACGAACGCUGGCGGCAUGCCUAACACAUGCAAGUCGAACGAGACCUUCGGGUCUAGUGGCGCACGGGUGCGUAACGCGUGGGAACCUGCCCUUAGGUUCGGAAUAACUCAGAGAAAUUUGAGCUAAUACCGGAUAAUGUCUUCGGACCAAAGAUUUAUCGCCGUUGGAUGGGCCCGCGUAGGAUUAGCUUGUUGGUGGGGUAAUGGCCUACCAAGGCGACGAUCCUUAGCUGGUCUGAGAGGAUGAUCAGCCACACUGGGACUGAGACACGGCCCAGACUCUUGCGGGAGGCAGCAGUGGGGAAUAUUGGAAAACGGGGUAAAGGCUGAUCCAGCAAUGCCGCGAGAGUGAUGAAGGCCUUAGGGAUGUGAAGCUCUUUUACAAGGGAUGAUAAUGACAGUACCUGAAGAAUAAGCUCCGGCUAACUACGUG